rnacentral:rRNA from 1 species
UACGUAGGUGGCAAGCGUUGUCCGGAUUUAUUGGGUUUAAAGGGUGCGUAGGCGGCCCUGUAAGUCAGUGCUGAAAUAUCCCGGCUUAACCGGGAGGGUGGCAUUGAUACUGCGGGGCUAGAGUACAGAUGAGGUAGGCGGAAUUGACGGUGUAGCGGUGAAAUGCUUAGAUAUCGUCAAGAACACCUAUAGCGAAGGCAGCUUACUAGGCUGUAACUGACGCUGAGGCACGAAAGUGUGGGGAUCAAACGGG